AGAUUGAACGCUGGCGGCAUGCCUUACACAUGCAAGUCGAACGGUAGAGUAGCAAUACUCGAGAGUGGCGAACGGGUGAGUAAUAUAUCGGAACGUGCCCAGUCGUGGGGGGAUAACGUAGAGAAAUUUACGCUAAUACCGCAUACGAUCUACGGAUGAAAGCGGGGGACUCGCAAGAGCCUCGCGCGAUUGGAGCGGCUGAUAUCAGAUUAGGUUGUUGGUGGGUAAAAGCUCACCAAGCCGACGAUCUGUAGCUGGUUUGAGAGAACGACCAGCCACACUGGGACUGAGACACGGCCCAGACUCCUACGGGAGGCAGCAGUGGGAAUUUUGGACAAUGGGCGAAAGCCUGAUCCAGCAAUGCGCGUGCAGGAAGAGGCUCGGUGUAACUGCUUUGUACGGUAACGAAAGGACUCGUUUACUAAUAAAGUAGGACCAGUAGACCGGUACGUAACGAAUAAGACGAACCGGACUAACGUACGUAGACCCGAACACGACGCCGGACCGUAAGUCGUA
rnacentral:rRNA from 1 species